AUAAACUGUUAAUUUACAGCACUACUAAUAAUUAGUAAACAUUUAAUUAUAAUUUCAUUGUUUGUUAACAGUAAAAAGACAGUUUGCUAACAGUUAAAUGACAAUCAACUAAAGAUUAAUUAACUAUCAAUUUACCAUCUAUUAAUGAUGGUUAUUAUAAAGUGUUACAAUCUUUUCUUUCUCCCUCAAGGUGCUUUGCUUAAAUUUCUCAGCCCUCAGGCUCUUCCUAAGGAUACCUCCACUGAUGAAGCUACACCAUCAACUUCAUCCUCAACAUCAACAGAUGCAUCACUUCACAGUGCUGAUGUUUCCUCUAUAGCACAAGGUACCACCACCACAAGCUCUAUAAUUAUAGCUGAUAUCCUGCACAGCCCAGAGUUUAAACUGAUAAGUGUGUGCUGUCAUAUUGUUAG